GGUGAACGCUGGCGGUAGGCUUAACACAUGCAAGUCGAGCGGGGUGAUGGUGCUUGCACUAUCACUUAGCGGCGGACGGGUGAGUAAUGCUUAGGAAUCUGCCUAUUAGUGGGGGACAACAUCUCGAAAGGGAUGCUAAUACCGCAUACGUCCUACGGGAGAAAGCAGGGGAUCACUUGUGACCUUGCGCUAAUAGAUGAGCCUAAGUCGGAUUAGCUAGUUGGUGGGGUAAAGGCCUACCAAGGCGACGAUCUGUAGCGGGUCUGAGAGGAUGAGCCGCCGCUCUGGGACUGAGACACGGCCCAGACUCCUACGGGAGGCAGCAGUGGGGAAUAUUGGACAAUGGGGGGAACCCUGAUCCAGCCAUGCCGCGUGUGUGAAGAAGGCCUUAUGGUUGUAAAGCACUUUAAGCGAGGAGGAGGCUCUUUUGGUUAAUACCCAAGAUGAGUGGACGUUACUCGCAGAAUAAGCACCGGCUAACUCUGUGCCAGCCGCCGCCGUAA
rnacentral:rRNA from 1 species